rnacentral:rRNA from 1 species
CCUAUGGGUGGCAGCAGUGGGGAAUAUUGGACAAUGGGCGAAAGCCUGAUCCAGCCAUGCCGCGUGUGUGAAGAAGGCCUUCGGGUUGUAAAGCACUUUCAGUGGGGAAGAAAGCCUUGGGGCUAAUACCCUCGAGGAAGGACAUCACCCACAGAAGAAGCACCGGCUAACUCCGUGCCAGCAGCCGCGGUAAUACGGAGGGGGCGAGCGUUAAUCGGAAUUACUGGGCGUAAAGCGCGCGUAGGCGGUCUGAUAAGCCGGUUGUGAAAGCCCCGGGCUCAACCUGGGAACGGCAUCCGGAACUGUCAGGCUAGAGUGCAGGAGAGGAAGGUAGAAUUCCCGGUGUAGCGGUGAAAUGCGUAGAGAUCGGGAGGAAUACCAGUGGCGAAGGCGGCCUUCUGGACUGACACUGACGCUGAGGUGCGAAAGCGUGGGUAGCAAACAGGAUUAGAUACCCCGGUAGUC